rnacentral:lncRNA from 1 species
AGCAAAUUGUUCCAGCACAGGAAAAGUCCUUGCUCUGCUGCCCUACUAUUGUCACAACACCUUUAUGCAAGGAAGAAGGUUUACAUCAGCAGAAAGACAAAAUACAACUAAAGCAAGAGAAGCCUCUGCAAGCAGUGACUGAGUCACCUUUUAAAUAUGGUGGAGAAUGUUUGUAACGUCAACCAUGAAAAUAUAAAGCUGGGAAAGAUUUCCAAGAUCAAAACCAGAAGCUGCUCUCUGAUUCUGAAAAGUGUGUGUCUUUCAUACAAGCCUUUCAUAGCCAAG